UACGGAGGAUCCAAGCGUUAUCCGGAAUCAUUGGGUUUAAAGGGUCCGUAGGCGGACCUGUAAGUCAGUGGUGAAAUCUCCCCGCUCAACGGGGAAACUGCCAUUGAUACUGCAGGUCUUGAAUUAUUGGGAAGUAACUAGAAUAUGUAGUGUAGCGGUGAAAUGCUUAGAUAUUACAUGGAAUACCGAUUGCGAAGGCAGGUUACUAUCAAUACAUUGACGCUGAUGGACGAAAGCGUGGGGAGCGAACAGG
rnacentral:rRNA from 1 species